rnacentral:rRNA from 1 species
GAUGAACGCUGGCGGCGUGCUUAACACAUGCAAGUCGAACGGGGAUUACUUUAUUGAAACUUCGGUCGAUAUGAUUUAAUUCUAGUGGCGGACGGGUGAGUAACGCGUGGGUAACCUGCCUUAUACAGGGGGAUAACAGUCAGAAAUGACUGCUAAUACCGCAUAAGCGCACAGAGCUGCAUGGCUCGGUGUGAAAAACUCCGGUGGUAUAAGAUGGACCCGCGUUGGAUUAGCUAGUUGGUGAGGUAACGGCCCACCAAGGCGACGAUCCAUAGCCGGCCUGAGAGGGUGAACGGCCACAUUGGGACUGAGACACGGCCCAGACUCCUACGGGAGGCAGCAGUGGGGAAUAUUGCACAAUGGGGGAAACCCUGAUGCAGCGACGCCGCGUGAAGGAAGAAGUAUCUCGGUAUGUAAACUUCUAUCAGCAGGGAAGAAAAUGACGGUA